ACACCCCGGUAAUUGCAUCACGUGAAUGGGGAGGAGGUUGGAGGGAGUCAUCACUCGAGAAUGCAUGCCCGCAUGUCAGCUCCUAAACGGGAUCUGGCACUGGACAUGUUAGAUCACGCACGGAGGAGAUGCACAGGGUACACUGCUGCUGGCAGAUGCAUGCUGCUAAGCCGGGUUGCUUUGAAGGUCAAGUCUUGACAGAGACCAUCUCUGAGUGUUGCUGUUGGAAAUAUGAAACUCUGUAAAAUGAGGUCUCUCAGCUGGAAAGAACGCUCUUGGCACAAGAAUGAAAGUUAUUUCCUUAAUAUGAGGACAGCAUGAGGACAAAUGCCUGGAAUGGUGGAGGAACCUGCACACCAGGCUGCACCAUGCCAAUGGAAAGAGCACACACCUGCACCCUGCUACAGCUGAAAAACUACCCUCCACCAGCAGAAAGAAAAGCACAGCAAGCCAGCUAGAGUGGUCUCUACCGAAUAGCUGGACUUCUAUUUUCUGUCUGAAGAGUGAGCUAAUACAAAUGUACCCAGCUACACUGGCAUUGUAAACAAGCUGGCCAAGAGCACAUCCUCUGUGGACAUUGGCUUAGACUCAGAAGAAGCCAUUCACAAUUUGUAGGAAUCCUUGAUGCAGCAACACAGAAUUGUCCCACAGGAUUGUCUGCCCUUUUUUACAUAUGAUUGGGAAGCUAAAGGCAGUUCUAAUCACACAAGCAUCAAUACAGAAACAAACACCAGUGAUCGUCUCUUUUUAUUUGGUUCUGAAACACAUCCAGAUUUACCCCAGGGAGCUAAGACAUUGCCACACCACUGUACAGAGCUGCUGCAGACAUUCAUCGCCCAUCUGGAAGUGACCACCAGAGGGUAGUGGACUUGAAAAGCUAUUGCAUCCCUGUUGAUUUAUCUUCUUUUCAAAUGAGACUUCUGCUUGUCCAGUUGCCAUUUGAAGUUUAUUUAAAGUUUAUUUAAUCAUAACUAAUAUAUUAGAAUUUUUGCCUUAAUUUCCUUACAUACCAGUUUCUCACCAGGACCUGUAGUCCAGACAUCAUAUUCAAUGUGAUUGUUUAUUUUCAUAGGCCGGUUGAAUCCAUAUCUUGCAGCUUCUCAUAAAUAACUCCUCUUACACAGCAGAUGUUCUCCUCCAGGCUAUUGUUAUCUCACACCUUGAAGAUUACUAUUUCACCUUUUCCUUUCUCCUUUCUUUUAAAAGCACUUUCUCUUGAGUCCUGCUUAUUUCUAGAGUACUAAUGGCUUCAUCUCUAUUUAAUGCUACGAGGGAUUCACAGAGCAUGUUGCCUCAGCAGAAACAUACUUUAUCAUGGAAGUGCUCAAAGGACCCAUCUCUUACUAGCACUCCAAUCCUGAGAUGACUUUUGCAUGUUAUAUUUGGAUCCGUGCAAGCCUGUAGAUUCUGCCUGUUGAGUGGAGUUGCUGGCAGUGUCAGCACGAAGAAUCAGUGCUUGAGAAGAGAUCAUUACAGAGAGUACCCACAGUGGUACCAAGGACUGCAAAUAAUGAUAAGAAAAUGGGGCAGAGUUUAAAGGAUGAUGCACAAGAUCAGAUGCUUCUGCUUCUUUCAAGAUAGUCUGAUGAUAUUUUCAAGAAACAGAAGUUCACUGUGAGCUCAAGUGCUCAUAGGUUUAUAGAAGGAACAUAGGCACAUACUGUCCAGCACAUCCCCCUUUGGUUGUGGCCUUGUUACAGCACAAGGAUGCCUGCACAGAAUACUAGCAGAGUUACUGCAAUUGUGUAAUUACAUUGAUAUGGAAAUAGCAGUAAAUUUUUGCAUAGACAACUCCUAAAGUAAUCAAAUAACAAAUGUUCAAUCUGUAAUGAACCCUAGAGUGAGAAUUAAAUUGAACAUAAGAAAUUGCUGAAUAUGGUGUCGCUUCUGCUUCUUAAAACAUCAGUUGUUUGGUUUUAACAUUGCUUUCUACAUCUGUGCCCUUGACUAUGUAGUCUGAUGUCCAACUUUAUAUAUAUAUAUAUAUAUACAUAUAUAUAUACACACUAUUAAACUCUGUACAGUAUUGUAAAAGAGAGAAUCAUUUGGUCCUUUGGUUGAAAAAGAAGUGUAGGGCUGGAGAGGCUGCUGCACGCAGCGCAAAGCAAGUGGUCUGUCAGCUGAAGCUCCAAGGCUCACUAACAGGGUUGGAUUGUGCACUCCAGCUCCCAAGUAAUUAAGUUGUUUGAUGCUGGUCUGAGACUGAUGAGGGUUUGAUACAAAUAAACACCAAGAAGUAGUGUGAAGCAUUGAAGUUAUGUGGGGGAGAAGAAGGAAGAAUAAACAAGACACCAUAGUUUCUACAUAUCAGAGCCUCCCCCCUCAAAAAAAAACAAAAACAAAAACAAAAAAACUCCCAAGAGAAAACAACAACCUUACAAGAAUGGGAAUGUGUCAACUACAGAAUAUGAAAUACCAGGGCAACCAUCAGAAAUGCUGAGGGCAUUGCAAAUGAGCUGAUAUCUCUUGUUUGUAACAUGAAGUUAAUUACAGAAGGGAACCUCUGUCCUAACACUGAGGAAACUGUCCUGUUGGCAGAGGUACCACGUUGCAACGAUCCCCCUUCAAAGACUUUCUUGCUGCAGGACAUCCCCAUAUUAGGUGAAUGACAAUGAUGUCACCAAAACUUUGAUGACCCAAUGAGAGCCAGAGCAGAGAGCUCACUGCCAUGUGGGAACUUUCAGGUUUCAGGUCUGUGUAAUCAAAACUGUGCUGCAGCCAGGAGGGGAGGAAACUGGGCUCUGCUCUAGCAUUGCACUGCCAGCCAGCUAAGGACAAAGUCCUAAGCAGCUGUUCUUGUGUAAGACAUCUGGGUUUUGGCAGCUUUAUAUACAAAGAAAAAAUAAUAAAAAUUUGUAGCUAAUUUCUGGGCCAAGAGAUAAGAUGAACAAGAAAAAAUUGAAUUAACCUUUUAUUAGAGAGAUUAAUCAUUACCAGUCCACGAGGCUGCUGAAAGGGGAUUUUCUGGACUCAGACCCUAGGGUAGGCUUUGAGGGUAUUAAUAUAAGGUGGAGUACAAGGCGUCAUAUCACCAGACAUGCUGGCAAAGCAGGAUGAAUCAAAGGAUGGGUCAGGGUGUGUGUAAGGGAAGUGCAUGGGAGCGGUCCUUUGCGUGACAGAAAAUAAUGAUUUAAUAUUUUGGUAGCAGAUUUAAUUCAUGGGAAGGCAUGGAAACUAAGGCUGCUCAGUGAGGAAUGAGUUUGAAUUUGGCCAAUGGGAAGAAGUGUGGAGGUGAGAAGGAUCGGUCUUGGGGGCAGGAAGGUGUUCAGUCACCACCAAGGAGCUAAGCAUAUUCACUGUCAUAGUGAAAAGAUCCUAAGAUGAAUGAGCUCCAGCAUCAAAAGAAGAUGUCAGAAGAAUCUUUAGAGUUUAUCAUCUUCUUAUGUGGAUUUGGAGGUUUUAGACACUUGCUAAAUUUUGGAGUUAAAAGAGAACAGCUUUGACUGAUGAUGCAAUGUAAUGUUGGGAUUGCAGGAAGAGAAGAUCCCAGCAGAAGGCCAGCACACAGAUGUGUCAGAUGAUACUGCAUUCCACACACUAGAAGUCAUGAUCUCCUCACUGAGCCAUCAGCAGCUUUGCUUCGGACUUCCCUACAUUUGAAAGCACUCAGACACACUGGGAGAAGUUCCAGUCAUCGUAAAUAAAUUUAGCCUACUGCUAAAAAGCUAGGAGGUGCCUCAAAAUCAUAGCACUUUUACAGUAAGUGAUAGUAACAGGGCUCUUCACCUAGAAUUAUAUUCUGCCAAACAGCAUUAAGCUAUUUAAAGAAUAGAGUUUGGUCUUUUAGAGUAAGUGUUUUAUGUUCCUUGUUUGAUUUAACGGGGCAAAGGAACUUAUAUGUCACUUAACAGUUAAGGGUAUUUUCCUGGCUGUUUUGUUCUCUGAUACUCUUUGGAAAUACACUUGGGUAUGAGCCCUUGAAAGGCUAUCCAGCCCCACGCUUAGAGUCACAGAAUCAUGGAUGAAGUCAGACUGUAAGAUACCUGGAGGCCAUUGGGCUGCCUACCUCCUUGUAGCAAGGCCAGCUUCAAAACUAGGUGAGGUUGCUCAAGGCCUGACCUGGCUAAGUUUUGAAAAUCAUCCAGGACUCCACUGCCCCAGGCACCAGUUCCAGUGCAUAAUCACCUUCAUGAUGAAAUUUUCUUUCCUUAUAUCCAGGCAGAGCUUGCCUUACUGCAGCCUGCAUCCAUUUCCACUCACACCUUUCCCGGUUCAUCUCCAAAAAGAAUCUGGCUCCUUCUCCCCUAUAUUCCACAUGGUAGUGGAAGAUGGCAAUUAGCUUACCCCUUCCCCUUCUCUUUUCAAGGCAGAACAAACCUUUCCACCUCAGUGUCAUGUGCCCCAGCCCCUGUCAUAAUUCUGGUACUCUGCUGGACUCCCUCCCAUAAGCUGGGCACAAUCCUCCAAAUGAAGCCUCAUGAAUACUAGAUAGUGUGAACUGUCCUGCUGGCAAGUUUCUUGCUAAGAAAGAUCUUCUUUCAUGCCUUUCUUGGAGAUGGGUGCGACAUUUGCCUUUCUUCUUGUCAUUGGGGACCUCAUCCAAUUGCCAUAAUCUUUCAAAUAUGAUAAAAUGUGGCCUUGCAAUGACAUCAGCCAGCCCUCUCAUAACCCUUGGAUCUGUGCCAUCCCAGCCCAAGGACUUGUACAUGUCCCCAUGCUUAUGCUGAUGUAUUUGUUUACGCAGUCUCUGACUUAAUCUUCCUCUACUAUUAGCAAUAUUCAUCUCCUCCAAACUCUGCCACAAGACAUACAGGUCUGAGAGGCUGAAGGCAGUGAAGACUGAGGAAAAGAAGGAAUUGAGAUCUGCAGCCUUUUCUGUAUCUCCUGUUCCCAGGUCUUCUGCCCCAAACAGCACAGCAUUCUCUCUGGUUUUCCUUUCACUGCCAAUUUACCUACUGAACUUGCACCUUUUAUGUUAGGAUUGUUCUGAUCUGGUAAUAUUUUCUCCUGGGGAAGUUUGAGCAUCCAAGCCCUGCAAUAAAUUUCUAGUUUUGAAA